GUGCUUGCUUCCGCAGCACAUAUACUAAAAUUGGGGUGAUACAAAGAAGAUUAGCAUGGCCCCUGCACAAGGAUGACACGCAAAUUUGUGAAGCAUUCCAUAUUUUU
rnacentral:snRNA from 1 species